GAUGAACGCUGGCGGCGUGCCUAAUACAUGCAAGUCGAGCGAACAGAUGAGGAGCUUGCUCCUCUGACGUUAGCGGCGGACGGGUGAGUAACACGUGGAUAACCUACCUAUAAGACUGGGAUAACUUCGGGAAACCGGAGCUAAUACCGGAUAAUAUAUUGAACCGCAUGGUUCAAUAGUGAAAGACGGUUUUGCUGUCACUUAUAGAUGGAUCCGCGCCGCAUUAGCUAGUUGGUAAGGUAACGGCUUAACAAGGCAACGAUGCGUAGCCGACCUGAGAGGGUGAUCGGCCACCCUGGAACUGAGACACGGUCCAGACUCCUACGGGAGGCAGCAGUAGGGAAUCUUCCGCAAUGGGCGAAAGCCUGACGGAGCAACGCCGCGUAAGUGAUGAAGGUCUUCGGAUCGUAAAACUCUGUUAUUAGGGAAGAACAAAUGUGUAAGUAACUAUGCACGUCUUGACGGUACCUAAUCAGAAAGCCACGGCUAACUACGUG
rnacentral:rRNA from 1 species